AUGCAGCGGCACCUAAUGGUGACAGUUGUUAAAGCGGGGGAUCGCAAGACCUCGCGUCUGAAGAGGAGCCUGCGGCAGAUUAGCUAGUUGGUAAGGUAAAGGCUUACCAAGGCGAUGAUCUGUAGCCGGCCUGAGAGGGCGGUCGGCCACACUGACACUGACAUACGGGUCAGACUCCUACGGGAGGCAGCAGUCGGGAAUUUUGGGCAAUGGGCGAAAGCCUGACCCAGCAACGCCGCGUGAAGGAUGAAAUCCCUCGGGAUGUAAACUUCGCAAGAACGGGAAGAAUAAGUCUGCGCAAAUAUCGCAGAUGAUGACGGUACCGUUUGUAAGCUCCGGCUAACUCCGUGCCAGCAGCCGCGGUAAUACGGGGGGAGCAAGCGUUGUUCGGAUUUACUGGGCGUAAAGGGCGCGUAGGCGGCCACCGCAAGUCGACUGUGAAAUCUCCGGGCUUAACCCGGAACGGUCAGCCGAUACUGCGGGGCUAGAGUGCAGAAGGGGCAACUGGAAUUCUCGGUGUAGCGGUGAAAUGCGUAGAUAUCGAGAGGAACACCUGCGGCGAAGGCGGGUUGCUGGGCUGACACUGACGCUGAGGCGCG
rnacentral:rRNA from 1 species